AUCCCAUCUGUUUAAAUCUUUGCUCUGUCGAAGCAUUGUGGGAGGCAGGUAGAUGGUCUGUUAAUUGAACGCACCGGGUGGCUGAUAAAUACUGACGUCCUGUCAGUCACUGGGGCUGCUUGGUUGGCCUCCGGAUCAGACCGGGACAAGCAGCAUUGGUCCGCGCCUCUCUCGGAAUGGCUGAGCAGUUCUCCCAGCGCAUAUUUUGGAUAAAAUAAAUUAUUGUGUCUGUGGAUCCGCUCGUCUGUCUCCCAUCUUUGUCAUCGCCUAUGAAUGGGGCGUGACAAAGGCUUGGUUCUGCAGACUGGAUCCCCAGGCCCGGUUCUCGGUCCGGCAGUGCAACAGGUAUCCUGCUGCAGGCUGGGUCCAACCCAAACAGAGCAGCUUCAUGCAGAAGAGACAGGCAGCAGUCAGCCACUGCAGGGUUUGAUGCCAAAUGGGAACGCUGAGAUUCUUUAAAGGAAACAAGAAGUGAC